rnacentral:rRNA from 1 species
CAGUCGCCGCGGUAAUACGUAGGGUGCAAGCGUUAAUCGGAAUUACUGGGCGUAAAGCGUGCGCAGGCGGUGUUGUAAGACUGAUGUGAAAUCCCGGGCUCAACCUGGGAACUGCAUUGGUGACUGCAACGCUGGAGUGCGGCAGAGGGGGAUGGAAUUCCGCGUGUAGCAGUGAAAUGCGUAGAUAUGCGGAGGAACACCGAUGGCGAAGGCAAUCCCCUGGGCCUGCACUGACGCUCAUGCACGAAAGCGUGGGGAGCAAACAGGAUUAGAGACCCCCGUAGUCCCUGUCUCUUAUACC